AAUACAGAGCCAGGCACGAGGGUGAAGAGGAGAAAACAUGAGAGGAGGAAGGGAGACCAGAGUGGUUUAUCAGGAGGGAAAUAGGAGAUAUAGAAUUCAAGUUCUGAUGGACAGAAUCAGGACGGACCAUGGGAUAAAAGGUCAAUGAGAUUAGCAGUAAAGAAGAGCUAAGUGGAUCAAAAGAAAGUUAUGGAAAACGCAAGGGGGGGGAGGGCAAUACUCAGAGGCAGAAGAAGACAAGAUAAACAGAGACCAAGAGAAAAGAGGUGAAACCGUUUCAUAAGAGUAAUAGAGAGGAGAUGGACAUAUGGGCAAAUUAGCUAUCCCAACUGGAACCUAGCUAAUGCAUUCCGAAGAGGCAGACUUCCAGUCUGAGGUAGAUGAAAAGAGCAGCCAUGGAAACAGAUCUGUAGAUGCAUCAAUUGGAAAGGAUGGGAGGGUUGGAGGAGGAGCACAUUUGGAUGACUACAUUAGAUUGUGGCAUAUGAGGUCACUUUAUCUGAUGAAGCAUCAAUAGGAGAGGAUGAAAGGGAGGGAGGGAGAGGAAAAGACAGAAGAACAGAUGAGGAGCACUAUGUUCUGCUUCCGUGUGGAUUGACAGCAUUGCUUUAAUGAGCUGCUGGAGGGCACAAUGGAGGAAGAGGGAGAGCGUCCAUUAUAGGCAGUUUGCCAUGGCCCUAAAUGGGCUUUUGGAUGUUCAUUUUUCCUGCUUUAUAUCAUACAACUUUACAAUAAAAAUGAAUUGCAA